rnacentral:tRNA from 1 species
GCCUGGGUGGCUCAGAGGUUGAAGAGUCUGACUUCGGCUCAGUUCAUGAUCUCACAGUUCGUGGGUUCAAGCCCCACGUCGGGCU